rnacentral:tRNA from 1 species
CAAAAAAUAGUUUAACUUAGAAUACUAGCUUUGGGGGUUAGUGACGGGGGUUGAAUUCCUCCUUUUUUGA